CAAAUUUAAUAUUGGAUGAAAUUACUAAAUUGCCCUUCCUUACCCUUAAAGGUUAAGAAACCACUUUGGUCUUUGGAUAAACAUCUCUUUUGAAAGAAGAUAAGAGGAGUGGACUAGAGAGAUAGAGGAAAAGAAAAAUCUUGAAGCUUUGAUCUCCAUCUUCUUCAAGCUUAGGUCUCAAGUUAUUGGAGUAUUCUAGGAAAUUUGACAAGGAGUAUUUGGGUGAGCUAAAUAGCUAAUAUUUGGGUGUUUCGGAGUAGUUAAGGA